UGUAUGCUCGCCAGAGAAUACCAAAACUCUUUUUAUUAAUGUCGUCUGAGUACUAUAUAAUAGUUAAAACUUUCAACAACGGAUCUCUUGGUUCUGGCAUCGAUGAAGAACGCAGCGAAAUGCGAUAAGUAAUGUGAAUUGCAGAAUUCAGUGAAUCAUCGAAUCUUUGAACGCACAUUGCGCCCCUUGGUAUUCCGGGGGGCAUGCCUGUUCGAGCGUCAUUUCAACCCUCAAGCUUAGCUUGGUAUUGAGUCUAUGUCAGUAAUGGCAGGCUCUAAAAUCAGUGGCGGCGCCGCUGGGUCCUGAACGUAGUAAUAUCUCUCGUUACAGGUUCUCGGUGUGCUUCUGCCAAAACCCAAAUUUUUCUAUGGUUGACCUCGGAUCA
rnacentral:rRNA from 1 species